rnacentral:lncRNA from 1 species
CCCCCAAUUAACAGUGAUGAAGACAGACUUAGAGUAAUACACCAACCGUGCAAACCUGGCCUCCAAAAAGAAGAAGCAUACAUACCACAUAAAAUCUUAUGUAGCUGCAUGCUAUCUUUGUAUCUGCAGCAAAGUGCAUUCCAUAAUAGAACAAGCAGGCAUAAAAUAUAAGUGGAUGCAAGAUAAGGCCCAGCUUUGGCAUUUAGCCCAUCAGUC